AGAGUUUGAUCAUGGCUCAGGACAAACGCUAGCGGCGUGCCUAAGAAAUGCAAGUCGAGCGGUUCCGAUGGGGCUUGCCCCAUCGGGAUAGCGGCGAACGGUCGCGUAACACGUAAGGAACCUGCCUCGAAGUGGGGGAUAGUCUCCCGAAAGGGAGCUUAAUACCGCAUGUGAACAACACCUGGCAUCUGGUGUUGUUUAAAGCAGCAAUGCUCUUCGAGAUGGUCUUGCGGCCUAUCAGCUAGUUGGUGGGGUAACGGCCUACCAAGGCGACGACGGGUAGCUGGUCUAAGAGGAUGGUCAGCCGGACUGGGACUGAGACACGGCCCAGACUCCUACGGGGGGCAGCAAUUAGGAAUCUUGCGCAAUGGGCGAAAGCCUGACGCAGCGACGCCGCGUGACUGAUGACGUCUUUCGGGAUGUAAAGGUCUUUUUUGGGGGAAGAAGGAUGUGACGGUACCCCAAGAAUAAGCCCCGGCUAACUACGUGCCAGCAGCCGCGGUAAUACGUAGGGGGCGAGCGUUGUCCGAAUUUACUGGGCGUAAAGCGCGCGUAGGCGGGUUAAUAAGUUGUGGGUGAAAUUCCGGGGCUCAACCUCGGAACUGCCUGCAAAACUGUUAGCCUUGAGGUAUGGAGAGGGAAGUGGAAUUCCUGGUGUAGCGGUGAAAUGCGUAGAUAUCAGGAGGAACACCUGUGGCGAAGGCGGCUUCCUGGCCAUAUUCUGACGCUGAGGUGCGAAAGCCAGGGGAGCGAACGGGAUUAGAUACCCCGGUAGUCCUGGCCGUAAACGAUGGAUACUAGGUGUUAGUGGUAUCGACCCCACUAGUGCCGGAGCUAACGCAUUAAGUAUCCCGCCUGGGGAGUACGACCGCAAGGUUGAAACUCAAAGGAAUUGACGGGGGCCCGCACAAGCGGUGGAGCAUGUGGUUUAAUACGUCACUAACCGUAGAACCUUACCCAGGCUUGACAUCUGGGGAAUCCCUAUGAAAGUGGGGAGUGCUUCGUAAGAAGAACCCCAAGACAGGUGUUGCAUGGCUGUCGUCAGCUCGUGUCGUGAGAUGUUGGGUUAAGUCCCGCAACGAGCGCAACCCUCAUCCGAUGUUGCCAGCGAGAAAGUCGGGAACUCUUCGGAAACUGCCCGUGUAAGCGGGAGGAAGGUGGGGAUGACGUCAAGUCAGCAUGGCCCUUACGCCUGGGGCUACACACAUGCUACAAUGGACGUGAACAAAGGGCAGCAAUACCGCGAGGUGGAGCUAAUCUCAAAAAUACGUCCUCAGUUCGGAUUGCAGUCUGCAACUCGACUGCAUGAAGUCGGAAUCGCUAGUAACCGCAGGUCAGCUAAACUGCGGUGAAUACGUUCCCGGGCCUUGUACACACCGCCCGUCACGCCACCUGAGUUGUCUGCACCCGAAGCCCGUGGCCUAACUCGCAAGAGAAGGGGCGGUCGAAGGUGUGGGGAGCGAGGGGGACGAAGUCGUAACAAGGUAGCCG
rnacentral:rRNA from 1 species